rnacentral:rRNA from 1 species
CCUACGGGAGGCUGCAGUGGGGAAUAUUGGACAAUGGGGGCAACCCUGAUCCAGCCAUGCCGCGUGUGUGAAGAAGGCCCUCGGGUUGUAAAGCACUUUCAGUGAGGAAGAACGCCUGGUGGUUAAUACCCAUCAGGAAAGACAUCACUCACAGAAGAAGCACCGGCUAACUCCGUGCCAGCAGCCGCGGUAAUACGGAGGGUGCGAGCGUUAAUCGGAAUUACUGGGCGUAAAGCGCGCGUAGGUGGCUUGAUAAGCCGGUUGUGAAAGCCCCGGGCUCAACCUGGGAACGGCAUCCGGAACUGUCAAGCUAGAGUGCAGGAGAGGAAGGUAGAAUUCCCGGUGUAGCGGUGAAAUGCGUAGAGAUCGGGAGGAAUACCAGUGGCGAAGGCGGCCUUCUGGACUGACACUGACACUGAGGUGCGAAAGCGUGGGUAGCAAACAGGAUUAGAUACCCUAGUAGUU